GCACAUUUAACUACUAAGUCUACUAGCAGAUUACAAUUUACAAUUACAAGCAUAUCCAAGUCCAACUGAACAUCAACUGACAUAUAAUUACAAGCACAUUCAUGAUUCAACUGAUCCAAAUGAGUACCUAUAAGUCCAUGAUUUCCUUACAAAACUACAAUCCAAAAUUUUAACUUGACAUAAAAGAGAGCCACAACAGGCAACAACAGACCAACAAGUUAGCAACAGUCUUGAAGCCCAACAACUAGCAGUAGCCCAAGUGCCAACAGCAGCAGCCCAACAACAGUCCUGAAGCAACAACAAAGCCACAAUUACUGAUGAGAUAUGAAGUUUGUCAAACAAAAUAACUAAGUUUUCAUUCAAAUUUGAAAUUCUUUUAACCCGUUAAAAGAACAUAAGUCACAAGGUGGGGGACAAUACAAGCACUAUGAAUUAAUUAAUUUUACAUUUUAAACAAUACAAGCAACACUAUAAGAUUCUACAUUAAGGUCCUAUAAACAAGACAACUGCUACAACUAUAAGUGUUCUGGAGUUAAAUUCCUGCUACAACUAAUGGUCAGAAAAUGGUUUCAAGAAUGGACUACAGAAUCAUAACAAGAAAUAAGGAAGGUGUUCAAUAGGGAAUCAUAACAACUCUGGCAAAAGGGAAUCAGUAUGAUUGAAGGAAUACUCCAACAAAACAAAUGGACUAAGGAAGGUGUUCAAUAGUUAAAAUAGAUUGAAUCCCAACAUCACACAACUGAUAUCUCAAUGGAAAGAAAGAGCUUGAGCAAGGCAUGACACUCAUUCAUUGAAUCGUAUUACCAUAGUGGAGGACAAACAUUGCAGUAAUAAUGAUAUCAACCUCCAAUAGUGUAUAUCUCAGAAAAAUACUUGUAAAAUCUAAUGAGUUCAUGAACUAAGCAAGAAAUAAUAGAAAAGUUUGCCAAGCAAAACUAAGUUCUACAUAUUACUACCAAGCAAGAAAUAAUAUCAUUCCAAGCAAAACUUAUCAGUUAUGUACAUCUACAUAUUACUGCCAAGUGACAUAUCUCCAUUAAAUUCCACCAUCCAUAUCCAAAACUUCCGCAAAUUCUAAGAACAUCAAAAGAAAAUAAAAAUUGUUAAAGAAAGUCAUUAACAUAUAAACAAUUAAAUAUUAUAAAUGAAAGCUAUAUAAUUUAAAAUGAAGGAUUACCUUUCUCAAUUGUUUUAAGUGAAUCUAAGUUCUCCUCCACAAACAUUGGUUGUUUGCUUGAACGAAGCCAAUCUUGAGCGCAAAUAAGAGCUUGUACCAUUCUAGGAGUUAAAGAACUCCUAAAUGGAUCAAGUACACGACCACCUGUGCUAAAUGCCGACUCGGAAGCAACGGUUGAUAUAGGAACCGCCAAUACAUCCUUAGCCAUUUGAGAAAGAAUGGGAAAUCUAGGAGAAUUAUUUUUCCACCAACCCAAAACAUUAUAUUUUGAAGUCGUUUGAUCAACAUGCUCACUCAAAUACUUAUCUAAUUCGGUAUUAUCACCUCCUAGAACAUCUGCAAUGUGUUCUACAAAUUUUUCACUCAGCCUUCUCCUUGACUUGUCUCGACCAUGCACAUCAAAACUUUCACUAGACACAUUAGAUUGUGCACUUUGGGAUGAUUGUGCACCUUGGGGUGCAUAUUUGAGACUAUACCAUUUAAACAAUUCAUCAAUGGCAUCACACACCGAUUUUAUCAUUUUGUUUGCCAUUUCAGUCCAACUCCCAUACAUUGCAUUGAAAGCAAAUUCCACAAAUGCAAAUUUAUGUCUAGGAUCUAAAACAACCGCAAUGUACAACAAUUUAUUUAUCAUCUCCACAUUCCCCCAAUAUUUAUCUAGUUUUGCUCUCAUCCUCAUCGCCAUUUCUCUCAUGCAAUAUUCAUGCUCAUUAUAUAACAAGUCAUUCAAAACAUCAUCAAGAUCAACAAAUUCAUGAAAAAAAGUAUUUGAUGUCACAUAAGAUGUACCCGAAACCUUCACUGUAAUGUCAAAGAAACACUUCAAGAAUACCACCAAUUGUUUCAUAACAUCCCAAUUUUCUAUGGUAGGCCACCCAUCACCCGAUUCCACUUCCAAUUUGAAUAAAGGGUCUUUGCUUGCAAGCCUAUUAAAAGCACGUUCAAAAUCUAUUGCCACAUUCAACAUAGAAUAAGUGGAGUUCCAUCUAGUGGACACAUCUAGGAUCAAUGAAGUAUUUUCCCCAAUUUUCUCAAUUUCAACACAUUCUUUGAAUUUCUUAAUCCUAGAUGGAGAUUGUCGCACCCACCUAACCAUAGAUCGAACACGAGAUAUCGAAGGAGUCACAUCUUUCAACCCAUCACAUACAACCAAAUUAAGUAUAUGAGCAACACACCUCACAUGGAGAAAUUUAUUAUCACAAAUGCUAUGACCCCAAACUUUCAAUUGAGUUUUCAAAUAGGAAAUUGCAACAUCAUUGGAACUAGCAUUAUCAACUGUGAUUGUGAAAAUUUUAUCAAUGCCCCAUUCCCUCAAAUAAUUUUCAACCGACAUACCUAUGUCUUCCCCUUUAUGACUAGUAAUUGGGACAAAGCUAAUAAUUUUCUUUUGCAUAUUCCACUUAUCAUCAACAUAAUGAGCAGUCAACACCAUGUAAUUAAUUCGUUGUAUGGAAGUCCAUGUAUCGGUAGUAAGACAAACCCUUUGCCUUGUAUUUUUGAAGUAAGCUUUCAAUUUCAAUUUCUCCUCUAAAAAGCGCUUCAAACAAUCUCUAGUUAUGAUGGUACGUGAAGGCACAUUGAAUUUUGGACAUGCAACCGACAUCAAGUAUUUAAAGCCCACAUUCUCCACAUGGCUAAAAGGAAGUUCAUCUACAAUUAUCAUAUAUGAAAUUGCCCUCCUAAUUAACUCUUGAUCAAAUUUCCAUAAACAAACACUAGUGGUUGAUUCCCCUUUCAACUCUUGACCCCUUUCUUUAAUACUUGAUUGUGGAAAAUUUAAUAGUGAUUGUUUUCUUUCCCUUAAUUGAAUAUUAGGAGGGUACAAUUUACAUCUUGCAUUAUGAUUUUUUAAACCACUUGUCCCAUUCUUUCCCGAGCCGACUUUUAAAACUUGACCACAAUAUUUACACUUUGCCUUUAUUUCAUUAUUUUGCUUAAAUCUUACAUAAUGUUCCCAUAUAGGAGCACGAGUCUUACAGAUUAUUUCCUCGAUCUCUUCAACUUCAAUUUGCUUUUGUGUUUCGCCUGCUUUGCGUGUCUCGCCUCCUCCAUUGUCUCCUUGAUUUCUUGGGACUUGGGUUGGAUUUGCAGUUUCUGAUAUUGGUAUAUUAUUGUCCAUAUUCUCCAUCACUGCAUAUAAAAACACAAACAAAAAUCACUAUAAACAUAGAUAAUAACUAAUCAUUCAUCCACACCAUCAUAAUCAUUUACUCCACCAUGAUCAAGCUCAACAUAGCCUUUUCAUUUACUGCAAAGCUAAUGGCAUACAAAUAACUGAUUCCCAUAAAUAAUUAAAUAUCAUUAGAUUGUACUCAUGAAUAUCUUAUAUCUGAUUUCAAGAAUCAUAAUUAGAGAGACUGAGAGAGUAUAUACAAAUCUAAUCAAGCUUUUAGUGGUAUAGAAGUAUAGAACAUAUAUAUAUAUAUAUAUAUAAUUCAAAUUAAAAAAAAAUGUUAACAUAAGUUCAUAUAAAAUCUGAAAUGGAACCAAAGUUUGAAACCCUAAAAUUGAAGUUAAAACAUGAAAACAGAGUGACAUAAAUUGAAGUUUAAAACCCUAAAAUUGAAGUUCAGAUCUUAAAUCAAACGAAUAGAAUGUAAAAUUACAUAAACCUAGCUGAAGAAUGCAUAUUAGAAGAUAGCCAGAGUUUGGAAUUAAAAAAAUUACCUAAGCAAAGCUAGCCGGAGACCGGAGCUCGGAGGGAGAGUCGGAGAGCCGGAGAGAAGAUAGCCGGAGCUCGGAGGGAGAGGCGGAGAGCCGAUAGCCUGAGGCUGAGAGUGAGAGACUGAGAUGAUCGUAGAUGGAGUAGGCGAGUAGCGAGUAGCGACUAGCGAAAACCAAGAAGUAGCUGAGAUCUAGACUGCUUGACAAGAUGGUGGUGUAAUGUUAGAUAAGUUUUGGUAACUUGUAACUGCAGAGUGACUGAGACUCUGAGAGACUAUGAGAGAGCGAAGUAGCGAACGAAGAAACCCUAGAUCUAUUUGGAAAGUGGUAAGUGACUAAGUCUGACUCUGAAGAAGAG
rnacentral:lncRNA from 1 species